ACUGGAAUCAUGAGUGUGUCACUCGUGAAUUGUAUAAGGAAAAAUAAUGAUGUCACUUUUACAAAUAGUGUUGUCCAAAACUGGUGCCAGAAGACUCGGUAAGGCCAGAGACGCAAGCGUUAAUCAUCCUGAUCAGGCGUAAAGGGUUUGUAGGCAGCUUUAAAUUAAUUAAAGAUUGAAUCAUAUAGAAGUCAAGAGAAUUAGUGGAUUAGGGUUGAUAUCCGUAUAAACUAUUAAGAAUUCUAAUUAGCGAAGGCACUUUUCUAUCUACUGAUUGACGCUGAGAAACGAAGGGGAGGAAACAAAACAGGAUUAGAUACCCUAAUAUCCCUCUCUGUAAACGAUGAAUGGUAGUUGCUAGUAAUAAUAAUUAGUGACGAGGCUAACGCGUUAACCAUUCCGCCUUGUGAGUACGACUGCAAAGUUGAAAACAAAAAAAUUAGUCGGUUUCGGAGCAAACGAAGUGAAGCAUGUUAUUUAAUUC
rnacentral:rRNA from 1 species